rnacentral:lncRNA from 1 species
AAGAGUAACGUGGCCUCCUCUCUAUCUCUACCAAACCAAUCCAAACGCUUGCCUCCCCUUCGCUUUUUCUUCCACUUUUCUCUCUCCCCUAUCCCCUCUUUCCGCCACGUCAUCUCCUCUAUCCUUCUAUGCUUGCGCACUACGCACCCGUCUUCCCAUCACCACCCUCUAUUCCUUCCAGCCAACGCUCCGAAUUCAUCUUCCUAAUCCCGCGUACGUUAGUCACAUUCAGUAUCCCAAAUUCUAUCUUAUAAAAAAUUACUAUCUCAGAACGCAGAACCCAAACGAAAAAGAAAACCCUUUCCUUUAUCAGAAUUCAGGGAAACCUCUCCUCCGCCCUUCCCUUUGGUUGUUAUGUUAACGAGCGUCAGAUCCUUGGUGAGCUGAAAUGUAAGCCGUUGACGACCCUGACCGUCCGAUUGGGUCCUCUUGAGCUUUUGCAUGCCGUUUAUGGAAAGUGAUUCUUUUAAAUAAGGGAAAAAAUAAGUAACUUUAUUAACAACAAACUUAGUCUUUUAUUAGGACCUAGGUGGUGUUGUAUGGACGGGGAAAAAGGCUUCAAUCAGAAUAAGGAAUCAGGAAAAUUGGGAACCCUAACGCCAACUUUGUCUCCAAUUUGGGUUGUUGGAGAGAAGAUGACUCUUAUCGGCUUUUUCUUGUAUUUACCCCUUUUGUAAUUUUUUAAUUUAGAAAAGAGAUUUUUAGGGAGUGUGUUUUUUUUUUUUUUU